rnacentral:rRNA from 1 species
GUCUACAGCCGUACUACCCUGAACAAGCCCGAUGUCUUAUCUUGGAAGCUAAGCAGGGUCAGGUCUGGUUAGUACUUGGAUGGGAGACCAUCUAGGAGGACCAGGUGCUAUAGGCA